GCAGGGCAGGAGCGGCGGCGGCGGUUCCGGGCCCGGCCCUGCGGUAACUCCGGCCCCGAGCGGCCCUGACCGGCACCUGCGGGCGCGACUCCCGGCCCCCCUGGGACAAUGCAGGAGCCGAGCGGGUGCAGAGGCUGCAGCCGCGCUGAAGGAGCAGUCAUGAGGAGUUUCCCGUUUGGAGCUGGGCUCCAGAAGGAAGGAACCUGAGAUUGUUGCUCCUGAUGAAACUGGUUCGCUGAACUGAAAUGCAGAGCAUCCUGAGGCACUUGGUGCCUGCGGCUGUGGCAGGCAGAAAACAUCACUGUCUGUCUGACCUGGAUUGGGAUGUGCAUUUACAGAGGGUCACUGGGAAGCGUGGGACAAGAACUGAACCAUAACUUCUGGCAGGCCCUGUCAGGGAGAGCAGCCGCAAACUGUGGUGGAGGAAUACCCACAACUACCUGUGAGGUGAUGAUGUACAGUUUUGACAUGAAUUGGGCGAGGAAACCACGUUAUUUUGAAGGAACAUCUCAGGUGGAACACGUGAGAAGGAUGAUUUGACGAGAGUAAUCCUGACAGUGAGAAAUAUGUUGAUGUUGGGUUUUUUUACCUAAGCAGAGCAUCUGAAAGCA